rnacentral:lncRNA from 1 species
GGGGUCGGUUGUGCUGAUACUACACUCUGCACCGUGUGCAGAUCCCGAAGCAGCAACAUUUGGACCUUAGUUUGGGUGGCUGCCUUCAGUCCAGUUGGAGAUUCCGAGGUAGUCCUGCAGGCGUCCGCAGGCCCUGGCGUCUCCUUCUAUCCCUUUAUCCUGUUUCAUUUACAUAUUUUAGAAAUAGUGUAUCAUUUAUUUUUCAGAUCUUGUUUGUAGUAAUUCUAGACUGUUUAUGAAGCGUGACACCAGUUCUGGGUAGAUUUUAUUUAAGAUGUUGUGUUGGAUAUAUAUAUUCAAAUGGUUUUAUUGAUUCUUCCGCUUGUUUAAAACUUCGCUGCUUAUAAGCUAUUAUUUCAUAAUUGUAAAGGAUUAAAAAUGGGAAAAAGGGAUAAUUUGUUCAAACUGUUAGCUUGUCUAACUUUCAUUAGUAGGCGCCAUCACGACUCCCGAGGGUGGAAAAUCUGGGUCAUGACAUCAACACACAAAAGACUCGAGGUCGUUCCCACCUAAUAAAAGAAAAAUAAAAUACUAUGAGUUCUACUUUCGGCCUCCAAAUACAAAUACUUCGGGGCAUAACCCAGAUAAAAAUAUAUACAGAGUCUAUGGGACAUUCCCCUAAAUAUAAACUAAAGGGAACGACCUCUCACCUUGGAUAAAAUAAUAGAAAGGCCUUAAAGUUUGCCUACCCAAUUGUGGUCGACCUAAGCAUGCUCCUAGCGAUUGAGAAAAAUAGAAAUAAAAUUAAACUAAAGUAAAUAAAACUCAUUUCUUUUUCACCUUCUUUUAACUCUUCAUUUCAUGUAUUUGACCCACCUCAAUUUCUAAAACGCGCGAGCAAUUUGAAUCACUAAUGGGAUAGGCCUCUACCAAACUCCAAGGCUCAAUGCCACAUAAACAUGCCACAGAAUAACUGUGAAGAGCAAAUAAACAUCCAAACAUAGGAAGUGAACAAACAAACAAGAGGAAAGGUAGGUAAUAAGACAAAAGAAAUGGUGGAUUGAAAUAUGAUAAGAGCUUUAAAACUUCUCCUUAAUCUCAUCCCUGUACCCACAUCUCCUAAUUUUCUUAAAACCAAAUAAACUCCAAACAACAUCUAACAAAUAAUCCAAGCUAAAAUCAAAUAAGCUUCAAACAACAUUUAAUAGAUAAUUCUACGAUUGAUUAAGCCUGCAGAACUCAACAACAAACAUUGAAUUUAAUUCUUCACUUCUUAUGAUCUGACUAACUCAAACUGAUGAUCCAAAAUUCCCACACAAAUGCCAGCAGUGAUAAAUUAGCAUUCCCACCACAACAUAUUAAACUAGUCAAGGUAGAAAGGGAAAAUUCCAACAUGAGAUCAAAUUCGGCGCGAAGCAACAUGAUAAGCUCAUGACUACUAAAUAGUAAGGUUUUAAAUGAGUUAGGAUUCAACAACCAAGAAGAAAACAAUUUCAAGGGAGUGAGGAUUAGGUACACAAGACUAGAUUAACUAAAAAGAAGACGAAGGGCAAUGCAUUCUGCUAGAACCACAACAAGAUUUAUGAAAUAGGCACAGAGCUCCAACUAAUAGCCAGAAGAACUAAUUUUAUAACCAGGCAAACAAACAGGAGCAAGGGAAACUAAUAAUCACUCAAUUGAACAUCAAUAUAUCCUACAGGAAAGAAACAAAAAUAUGAAAAUGCACCAGAAAUCUUUAUGCACCAAAGAACUGUCCCAAAACGCGUGGUGGAGUGUCGUUAUCCUAUACAAAUGGAAGCUAAAUAAACUGAUUUGGAAUUAAUUGAAGGCGUUGGAACUAUAUGAACUGAUUUUUUGCACCUAAAUUCUAGAAGAUCAGCAUUACAAACUCAAGAAAUCAAAAGCAAAGAUUUGACCAUUUCUGAACUUAACGGGGAUAUCAGACCCUCAUUUGAAGGGAAUGAUCACACUUAAGCCCCCACAAAAAUUGAAGCAAAUGGGAUGAAAUAGAGACAUACUAAUCUGGAUUGUAGCGACUUGAACAAUGAUAGUUAUGGCUUAAGUAUCGAUUUUAUUACUCAGACAGCACAAAAUAAUAAGAACAAAACUCGAAUAUUUCCAUCAAGAGCAGAACUACAUUUGAAACACAUAUUCAAACACAAAUCCAUUCAAAACUGUCUAUUAAGCACAUAUAAACUCAUUCUAUACCCUUAAGAUGUUGUAGACACUAAUGAAUCCCAAACGACCACCAUAGCUCUUAUCAUAUUUCAAACAACCCCAAAAUAGAUUAAGAAAGAUUAGAGAUAAACCUGAAUCAGCAGACACUUUUAAUUAACUUUGCUCGAACGCUAAAUACACGUGAAAUCCAGCAGCGAAGAUCAAAACCAACAGCAACAAAAAAAAACAGGAAUCCCGAGCCACAGACGACCCUCAAGUUAGCGACUCGAUCACUUGAACCUCGGGCAUCAACGACUUCAACAACCUUGGCUCGACUCCAUUUACUAACAUAGAUUGAAGAUGAAACUGAAAUCCGACUCUACACUCACUAGAAAACAGAAACGUAAAAGGAAUCUUUUGAAAUGACCUAAAAUCUAAAAUCAAACUCGAAGAUGAGAAGAAGCUCAAUUUUCUUCUCCAAAUCUUAGAGCAGAGAAGAAGAGCCCCUUUUAAAAACCCCUAAUUCUCCUCCCAAACCCACAAAUAUAUACUCCAUCUCGAAACUUCUAUACUUGUCUUCCAAGAAAACCCAAAAAUCUUCCAAACACAUCCAAAAUUCGGUUUUUUGAUCAGUAAAGGACAAGUGGAGGGAGUAGAUUGUGUUUAACUCAAUUCUAUGCCCCCAAUUAAUCCUAAUCUAGUCUUCAAAUGAAAUUCGGGUGAGAUGAGCGUAUGAGAGAGAGGCGGCCUCGAUUUGUCAGAGUUUGUUACGGAUUCAGCUGACGUGGAAGGAAUAUGAGGGGAGGGGACCAUGGAGGGUUCGUUUAUGUUGGGGUUUGGGUUGGGUUAAGGUGGGAGAAGGGUUUGAGGGAGAAUAGGAGUGCGGCUGAGGUCUUUGGGUUUAGGGUUAGAGAAAUACUUAGGUUUUAUAUAUGGGUGAGGGUGAAUAAUGACCCUUGGAUUAGUUGAGAUGGAUGGCUAGGUUUUGAGAAGGGAGUGGGGCGGGUCAGACGGGUUUCGCGGAUCAAAGGGAUUGGGCUGAUGGGUGAUUUUGGGGUUAGAUGGGUUGGGAAGAUUUGGGCUUGCUAAAAUUGGGCCACCUUCUUGCCCGAAAUUGGGCCAAAAUUGUCUUGAAUUAGCUAACAAUUGGACUUCUUAGAAAAUCUGAAUUUCAUUAGCUAAAAGCCUAAGUUUUCCUUAUUUAAAAUAUUUAUUAAAAUAUAAGACUACUCCUAAUUAAUUAAAAUAAACUUUUAAAAUAGAAUUAACUAUUAAAAGUUAAACUAUUUUUGAUAUUUUCACAGGAUUAUACUAAAAUAAGAAUAAAGAAAAAUACGUUAAAGUCAUGGUAAAUUAAAAUAAUAUUAAUAAAAAAUAUUAAUAACCUAAACUAAAUAGAAAUAAGAUAAAACAUGAAACUAUUUUUGUAUUUUUCAAUUUUUGUGCCUUAAAAAUAGGAUUAUAAUUAAUAAUAAAGUAAAAUCCUAUAGAAAUAAACUCAAAUAAAUCUAAAAAUACUAGGACUAUUAAAGGUAAUUCUAAUGCGCGGGUCAAAAAUUACAUGUCUAUAGCUGCCCCUCUUUGACGGGAAGCAUGAAGUGUUUCCAGAUAAAGAACAACAAGACAUAUUUUUUACCCGACCCUUAUUUAGAGAGACAAAAACUAAAAGAAAAGAGAAUAUAACCAAGCCUUGAUAUCUGAGCUGCCUACAUAUCCUUGCUAUAAAGGAAUCAGGCCACGUGUAGUUCAUGAGUGAGGAGAGCGAUGGAGUAUACCAAGGUGGAGAGUCGAGUGAAGUGCCGCUGAGGUUCCGGUCCGCGGUUCCUGCCACAAAAUCAAAAAUAAAAGGAAAAAUUACAGCAAAAAAAUACAAGAUCCUAUCUACUUCUUGUCCUGAAUCUUCUUUGAAUUUCUACUUGAUCUUUCAAUAUGAAAUUGACAAAUGGACCAUGUUCUUCAAGCAGGAUCCUGUUGCUUCUCUGACUUGAACUUGGAAAUUAAAUUUGACCCUGUUCUUCAAGCAGGCUCCUGAUGCCUCUUGAAUUUGAGAAUUGAAAGUAACUCUAAAAUGGAUUCCCUCGUUCUCCAGGUGGGCGCCUGUUGUUGACUUGAAACUUAAAAUGACUUCCCUCGUUCUCCAAUUGGGCGCCUGCAACUUGCUUGAAACUUGAAAUGAAUUCCCUCGUUCUCCAGGUGGGCACGUGCAACUUGCUUGAAACUUGAAAUUAAUUCCCUCGUUCUCCAAGUGGGCUCCUACGACUUGCUUGAAACUUGAGAUAAAUUCCCUCGUUCUCCGGGUGGGCACUUGCGGCUUGGUUAAAACUUGAAAUGAACUUCCUCAUUCUCCAAGUGGGCGCCUGCCAAUAACUUGAAAUUUGAAAUGGAUUCUCUCAUUCUCCAGGUGGGCACCUGCGACUUACUUAAAAAUUGAAAUAACUCUGAAAUAAAUUUCCUCGUUCUCUAGCCAGGCGACUGCCACUGACUUAGAACUUGAAAUGAAUUCCCUCAUUCUCCAGGUGGGUGCCUGCUGUGACUUGAAAUUUGAAAUGGAUUCCCUCGUUCUUCAGGUGGGCGCCUGCGACUUACUUAAAAAUUGAAAUAACUCUGAAAUGAAUUCCCUCGUUCUCUAGGGGGCACCUGCCACUAACUUAGAACUUGAAAUGAAUUCCCUCAUUCUUCAGGUGGGCACAUGUGACUUUCUUAAAACUUGAAAUGAAUUCCCUCAUUCUCCAAGUGGGCGUCUUCCACUAGCUUAGAACUUGAAAUGAAUUCCCUUAUUCUCCAGGCGGGCACCUGCUGCGACUUGAAAUUUGAAAUGGAUUCCCUUAAUCUCCAUGUGGGCGCCUGCGACUUACUUAAAAAUUGAAAUAAAUUCCCUCAUUCUCUAGGUGGGCGCCUGCAAUUAAAACAAAAUAGACAAAACAAAAAAAAAUUCUGCCCGAGUUUGUACUAGGAACAUUAGUGACUAUUAGUUAAAUCCCAUUUUCUAGGAGGGUCCUGAAAUUUUAAAACUAAAUAUUUGAAAAUUUGAUAUUAAAUCCCAUUAUCCAGGAGGGUCCUGAACAAUUGAAACUAAAUCCUUGAAAAUUUGAAAUUAAAUCCCAUUAUCCAGGAGGGUUCUGAAAACUUGAAACUAAAUCCCAUUAUCCAUGAGGGUCCUGAACAACCGAGAAUGAAGUUACCUGAGCCAUGCUCUCUUCCUGGAGGAUCCGAAAUAGAACUUCUUGCCCCUGAGCCAUGCUUUCUUCAGGGGAGGGUCCCUGCAGAUUGAACAAAUUUUCUUGCCCCUGUUUCAAACAAAUGAAAUUUUUUUAGUUUGAAAACAUGGUGGUUAGUUUGUGGCAUUAUUGCUUAAGGUGUCCUCUUCUUCAACUAUCAUGCUUCAUUUUGAUUAGCUGCUUCGGGCCAGCAAGGGAUUGUUUGACCCUCUGAUCGAAAUUGGACCACAAAACCUCUGAAUGACCUAAAUCUCUUACAUUCACUUGUUGCAUUGUGAUUUCAUUCUGGAAGUUGUUGAAUCUUUGUAUUUUCUCAAAAUUCAAGAAUCACCUUAUCACCUGAACUUCAGUUAUCACCAUAAUAUUCAUUCUGAAUCAUAUCACAUGAGAUGUGCUUGGCCGUACUCCGUUUUGUGCAAUUUAAAAGCUGGUAGUAGGCUUUGGAAUCCUUUCCUGCUUGUUUAACAAGAGCUAACUCGAAAGAGACUCAUAAAGAUAGACUCAACGAGCAUAAUGAAGUGAUUUUUAGGGAAAGGAACAAAGGAAAAUUUUAAACAAAGAUGACCACGUGAAGAAGAAUAGAAAAAAAAGAUUUAUCUAAGUGAAGCGGUUGGCUCCAAUGAUCAUGACAUGCAUUUCGGACUGAUCAACCUAAUUCGUCCAACUAAUCAUAUUUUCGGUUCAUGUCAUGUCUUCAUACUUCAAAAAUGGGGCUUUCACUUAUCCAAUUUCUUUGUAAAGUCACGAGCCUCAUUUGACUUGUAGUGCCCCGAAGGGUUUUCACCAACAAGCCUCUCUCAUUUGUUCAUCUCUCAACUCACCAUUGCCUUACGGUGCCCGGUAGGGGUUUCACCAAUAAGACUCUCUCAUUUUUAAAUUUUCUCUCAGCUCACCAUCGCCUUACGGUGUCCAUGAGGGUUUUCACCAAUAAGACUCUCUCUUUUUAUUCAUUUUUCCUUUGUGCCCAUGAACGAAAUGUUACCCAUGAUGUAAAUCAUACCUCUAUCUCGCUUGACUUGUCAUCCUCAAAGAUUGAUCAGAAUGUCUUUCUUUGGACCGUAAUGUAGGUGUCACACCCCUUUUUUACACCUCACUUAACCCUCUUUAAAUCAAUAUAAAAAAAGAUUUGUAAAGCUCGAAAGGGUUUUUAAUUAAAAGUGACAAAAUUGUGUUCAAAAGGAAAUAACUCAGAGUCACCACCUUACAAUGGUUUCGGUGUGUCAGGCCACCAUUUUUAGAAAUUAUUUUCCUUUAAGAACAAUUUGGACUCAAAAACUAAGUCAGCACCAGAGAUUCGGGUAAGGGGGUUUAUUUAACUUGGGGAGAAGGUGUUAGGCACUCCCCAAGUCCCGUGAAAGUCACGGUUGCGUACUCAAUCUAGUUGGCUUUUAGAAUAUUCGAAUUAAGGUAAAAACACACAAAAGAAGACAAACACAAAAUGGUUCGAGGUUGUCCCUACCUAGAUAAAAGAAAAAUAAGAUAAGAAUAAAAUAAAAUACUGCACUAUGCUUCCUUCACAAACUCGUCACGGCCUCCAGAAUAUUUACAAAGUACUUCGGGGCAUUCCCCGGAUAGUAUAAUCAACUAAAGGGACAACCUCUCGCCUCGACAAAACAAAAAUAUAAACACCCUAAAGAUUUGCCUACCCGAAUGUUGUCUGCCUAAACAUGCUCCUAGCGGACAAUGCAAUUAAAUAGACUAACGAAAGAAAACUAAAUAAAGUAAAAGAAAAUUCUAAAUCAUGCUUAUUUAUUUAUCAAUUAAUUUUACUUGUCCAACCAAGCCCAAUCCUAAAGCAUGUGAGCAAAUUCAUUACUAAUGGACUUGUCCUUCCCCACUCCCAUGACCUGGCAGUCAAACAAGUUAACACCAAUGAGGCAAGUAAACAUUCAAAUGUUGAAAGAAUUUAGAAACUAGAACAAAUAGAAAAUGCAACCAAGCAAAAGAUAGGUGGAUCUGAAACGCGAUGAAGGCCCCUCACUGUCUCCCAAACCCGUUGAAGAUUCCUAAGAGCUAAGUUCUCCAAUCCAUCAGAAACAAUUCACUUAAAUAACAAAUGUUCAUGCUUUAAUAUCAAAGACUACAGUCAAACAAGCGAAAUGGAAAGAACUAAAGAGUAUACUUCAAAAGAAGGCUAUUCUUUGUUAAGCAUGGCAAUUUUGAAAUGAUGUGCACAUAACAAACUAUCACAAAAGACUGUUAGAUCUAUUUCCAUGGGUAGUUUAAAUUUUCAAUUUCAGUUAAGCUCAACUCAAAGAUUGACGUAUACAACUUCACAAAAGAAAGAUUCAAAACGAGUUAUGGAUAACUUGGUCGAAUUGAGCACGCCUCAAAGAAUCUGCGGUUGACCCUUCAUUUUAGACUUAUCUUACAAAUGUUAUACCUACCAAGAAACUGUUAAACAUAACAGAAAACUUCGGCGCAGUCUGCUAACUAGACUGGUACUUAACAAGAAAUGGCAGCAACUUUAAAAUAACAGUCCAUGAUUUUAAACCAAGCAGACAAGACCUAUCAUAGAUAGAAAGCAUCGAAAGAUAUUUUUUCUAACUCAUUUCAUGCUUAAACCUCAACAAAUUGCGCAAAAGAACAAGAAACUCGUAAAAAGCUGCAAGAAUUAUUAUUUUUUGCUUUGCAAGUUAUAGCACUGAUCAGUUAACUUUCUAAGAACCUAAGUGCAAACCAGCAUAUAUGUUCGAACGGAGCCCAGCAGAGAUUAACAAAACCAAAGCAUCAAAUUAACAUGAACAUAGAAAGACUAUAAUAAGUCCAGAAGCUUAGUCAUGCCUCAAGCACCUUAACUCAUAUUAGCUAUUCACGCUCGAACCCAAAGAAAUCAGUAGAAUGUCUAAUACUUCAAAGAAUCAACGUCUUAACAUCCUUCCUUUCCUAAUAGUUAUGAGACUAGUUGAGACUUCAAACACACACGCCAAAACCAAACAAAAGGAUCCUGUUAGAUUUUACAAGAAAACUGUGCGGCAGGUUCAUAUAUUUAUUAAUCAAUUAUAAGGUCGCACAAUUGCAAUCGUUUAAACAGAAUGAAGCAGAGUGAUACUCGAAAAAUGCAUAGAAACCUAAAUGUGACCUCAAGAAUCUCGAAUUGAAUUAGUUAGAUUAGUUCCAUGUAAAGCAAACUCGCACACAUUCUCCAAACUAAAACCCCAACUCUCAUCGCGCAUCAGAUCCACCAAAUGAAAAAAAGAGAGAGAAAGAGAUGAACCUGAGCACACCAAGCUUUUCAAUUAAUGUUGGAGGUAGAUACAAGUUGAAGGAAACUCGACAACAAGCUUGAAAGAAAGAAAAUGGCUACUGGAGUCUGAGCUUCGGCAAGAGCGGAAACCGGAAAUGGACCCCAGUUAGCAAGGAAACAACAAUUCCAACAACCUCGACUCAAAUCCAUUUACUAACUUAAGAUGUAACUGAAAUUUGACUCUUCACUCACUAGAAACAGAAAUAUUUUUUUAAAAAAAAAUCUUUUAAAACGACCUAAAAUCUUAAAUGAAAUUCGAAGAUGAGAAGAAAUUCAAAAAAAAAAAUCCUGGAAAUUACAAAGCAGAGAAGAGGAGCUCAAAAGAAGAACUCACAAUCCCUAAUUUUCCUCUCCAAUUUUUUCGAAAAUUCCUUCAAAAUUCUGUCCGAAAAUCCUCUCCAAAUUUCUCUCUUUUAUAGUUCAAAAAUCGAACAAAUGGAGGGUCUAGAUUUACAAUGAGUCAAUAUACGGCCUCCAAAUAUUCGAUUCCAACUUAGAGAGCAAGAAAAUGCGAUAAUAAUGAUGAGAUCGUUGGGAUUUUGCUACGUGGAAGACAGAAUGAAAGGAAGGGGGGACCAUAGGGGACCAGGUGCACACGAGCGGAGUGAACUCGCCUGAGUUUGGGCGAGUUUGGGGUGAAUUUGAGGCGGUACACGUGUGGGAAAGAGAGGGUGACGACUGGAGCUUAAAGAAUUAGGUUUACGGUUAGACUAGAGGAUGUUGGGAUUAUAUUUGGUAUAGGGAAAAAAUGUGGGCCGUUGUAUGAGAAGAGAUGGACGGUUGGGAUUAAUAGGGGUGUUGGGGCGAGUCUCAGGUUGGUUAAAAGGGGAAAGGAAUGGGCUACCCCAAUUUUGGGCUCAAGCUUGGCCGAAAUUGGGCCUANNNNNNNNNNNNNNNNNNNNNNNNNNNNNNNNNNNNNNNNNNNNNNNNNNNNNNNNNNNNNNNNNNNNNNNNNNNNNNNNNNNNNNNNNNNNNNNNNNNNNNNNNNNNNNNNNNNNNNNNNNNNNNNNNNNNNNNNNNNNNNNNNNNNNNNNNNNNNNNNNNNNNNNNNNNNNNNNNNNNNNNNNNNNNNNNNNNNNNNNNNNNNNNNNNNNNNNNNNNNNNNNNNNNNNNNNNNNNNNNNNNNNNNNNNNNNNNNNNNNNNNNNNNNNNNNNNNNNNNNNNNNNNNNNNNNNNNNNNNNNNNNNNNNNNNNNNNNNNNNNNNNNNNNNNNNNNNNNNNNNNNNNNNNNNNNNNNNNNNNNNNNNNNNNNNNNNNNNNNNNNNNNNNNNNUAUAUAUAUAUAUAUAUAUAUAUAUAUAUAUUAUAUGUAUGAUUUAUUUAUAUAAAUUAUUAUAUUCAAAAUAUAACUAAAAAUCAUAGUAAAAAUAUAUUGCCAUAAAAUACUAAUAGCCUUAUGUAAAAAUAAGAAAAUAUAUAAGGAAACUAUUUUUUUUUGUGUUUUCCAUUUUAUGUUUUAAAAUAAAAGUAAAAGUAAAAAAUAUGUUAAAUACUAUUGAAAUAACUCAAAUAAAUAUUUUAAAAUGCUAAGAGUACUAAUUUAGCUUGAUGAUGUGGCGGGUCAAAAAUUACAUGUCUACAGCUGCCCCUCUUUGACGGGAAACACGAAGUAUUUUCAGACAAAGAACAACAAGACAUGUUUUUGACCCGACCCUUAUUUAGAAAUAUCAAAACUAAAAUAAAAAAAAUGUGACGGAGUCCUGGUAUCUGAGUUGCCUACAUAUACUUGGUUAUAAAGGAAUCAUGCCACAUGUAGUUCAUGAGUGAGAACAUUGAUGGAGUAUACCGAGGUGGAGAGCCGAUUGAGGUGUCGUCGAGGUUCUGGUCCGCGGUUACUGCCAUUACAUCAAAAUAAAAUCUAAAAGAACUAAGCAAGCCUAUCAGCUAUGAGUUACAAGAUCCCUAUCUACAAGUCUACUGAAGCUUGAUCUUGAGUCUUGAAUGGUUCUUCAUGCAGAUUUUUUGAUUUGAACCUUGAUGCUUGCUAGCUGCAGGUGCUGAUUCAUUCUUCCAUAACAUCUUUGGGUCAAGACCGGGCAUGCAGUGCUCAUAACUUCAACCAUGUCUUGAGCAGUUCACAUCUUUCACCUGCUUCUGUGUUUUGGAUUCACUUUUUUUCUCUUUUCUUUUUUUUGGAUUGAGACUACUUCUAUUGGUCAUCUCGGACUGUUGACUCGCAUUCUUGCCGCGAGCUUCUGCUACUUCUAACUUGAAUUUAAUUCUGAAAUGACUUCCCUCGUUCUUCAGGUGGGCGCCUGCUACUGAUUUGAAAUUUGAAGUAACUCUGAAAAGAACUCCUUCGUUCUCCAGGUGGGUGCCUGCAAUCAAAACAACAAAACAAACAAAACUUUCUGCCCCAGUUUGCACUAGGAAGAUUUGUGAGUUGUUAGCAAAACUGUAAAUUGUCUAUGCUAUUGAUGCAAUGAUGAGAGUAAAACUAAAGACUCGACUAGGAUGUGCGUCUCCUAGGGAUGAACUCAAACGACUCAAACUAGGAAGUGCGUCUCCUAGGUAAGAAACUUGAAUGAACCAAACUAGGAAGUGUGUCUCCUAGGAUAAAACUUGAAUGACUGAAGAUAUGAAGUGCAUCUCCUAGGGAUGAAACUUGAAUAAAACAAAACUAGGAGGUGCGUCUCCUAGGGGUAAAACUUGAAUGACUCAAACUAGGAAGUGCGUUUCCUCGGGGUAAAAUCUCAAUUUAGGAAGUGCGUCUCCUAAAACAAAAAUAUCAUCUGAAAGACCCAGACUAUGAAGUGUGUCUCCUAGGGGUAAAACUUUAAUGACUCAAACUAGGAAGUGCGUCCCCUAAGAAUGAACNNNNNNNNNNNNNNNNNNNNNNNNNNNNNNNNNNNNNNNNNNNNNNNNNNNNNNNNNNNNNNNNNNNNNNNNNNNNNNNNNNNNNNNNNNNNNNNNNNNNNNNNNNNNNNNNNNNNNNNNNNNNNNNNNNNNNNNNNNNNNNNNNNNNNNNNNNNNNNNNNNNNNNNNNNNNNNNNNNNNNNNNNNNNNNNNNNNNNNNNNNNNNNNNNNNNNNNNNNNNNNNNNNNNNNNNNNNNNNNNNNNNNNNNNNNNNNNNNNNNNNNNNNNNNNNNNNNNNNNNNNNNNNNNNNNNNNNNNNNNNNNNNNNNNNNNNNNNNNNNNNNNNNNNNNNNNNNNNNNNNNNNNNNNNNNNNNNNNNNNNNNNNNNNNNNNNNNNNNNNNNNNNNNNNNNNNNNNNNNNNNNNNNNNNNNNNNNNNNNNNNNNNNNNNNNNNNNNNNNNNNNNNNNNNNNNNNNNNNNNNNNNNNNNNNNNNNNNNNNNNNNNNNNNNNNNNNNNNNNNNNNNNNNNNNNNNNNNNNNNNNNNNNNNNNNNNNNNNNNNNNNNNNNNNNNNNNNNNNNNNNNNNNNNNNNNNNNNNNNNNNNNNNNNNNNNNNNNNNNNNNNNNNNNNNNNNNNNNNNNNNNNNNNNNNNNNNNNNNNNNNNNNNNNNNNNNNNNNNNNNNNNNNNNNNNNNNNNNNNNNNNNNNNNNNNNNNNNNNNNNNNNNNNNNNNNNNNNNNNNNNNNNNNNNNNNNNNNNNNNNNNNNNNNNNNNNNNNNNNNNNNNNNNNNNNNNNNNNNNNNNNNNNNNNNNNNNNNNNNNNNNNNNNNNNNNNNNNNNNNNNNNNNNNNNNNNNNNNNNNNNNNNNNNNNNNNNNNNNNNNNNNNNNNNNNNNNNNNNNNNNNNNNNNNNNNNNNNNNNNNNNNNNNNNNNNNNNNNNNNNNNNNNNNNNNNNNNNNNNNNNNNNNNNNNNNNNNNNNNNNNNNNNNNNNNNNNNNNNNNNNNNNNNNNNNNNNNNNNNNNNNNNNNNNNNNNNNNNNNNNNNNNNNNNNNNNNNNNNNNNACUGGGCUUUAGUGCUUCAAUUGUCCCAUCUGAUCCACAAUCCUCAGUCGGCUUGUAGUGCCCUAAAGGGUUUUCACCAUCAAGCCUCUCUCAUUUUGCUCUUUUUUUCAACUCAUCGUAGCCUUACGGUGUCCAUCAGGGUUUUCACCGAUAAGACUCUCUCAUUUUAUCAUUUUCUCUCUUUGUGCUGAGAACAAGGUAUUACCCAUGAUACAAGAAGAUCAUACUUUGACCUCGCACUUGAUUUAACAUCCUCAAAGAUUGGUCGGAAGGUCUUUAUUUGGACCGUAAUGUAGGCUUUUGGACAAGGUUGGAAAGAAAGGGUGGCAUGAAGGCUCAAAAUGAUUUAAGAUGAAAGGGUUCAAAAUUACAACUUUUGGAAUAUGAUCUUUUGGCUAAAAUUAAAACGCCUGCCCAGUUUUCUUGGAGUCUGGAGAUUUUCUUUUGUUUUGAUGGGAUUUCUAAGAAAAUCUGCCCCACUAUUGACUUCAGGGGACUAUGAAAUAUUUUAUUUAGUGUGACUGAACCGUAAGACUGCCUACGUAUCUUGAGGUAAUAAGAAUCAGGUCGAACGUAGUUCAAAAGACAAAGUUGGAUUAUUUUGUUGUUUUUUUUCUCCUUUUCUUUCUUUUCCUUUUUUUCUUUCCUUUUUUUCUUUUUUUCUUUUCUCUUUCUUUUUUUUCUUUUCCUUUCUUUUCUUCUUUUUCUAUUUUCAUUUUUCUUUUCUAGUUCCUAACUCUACUUCUGAUUCCAAAAGAGGGGUAUGAAAUAAAAUAAAUUAAGGCUCAAAAGGGGUAGCAAAAGAUAAAAGUAUUUGGGUAGCAGAAUAAAAUGUCUUCAUCAUACCAAACUUUAAAGAUGCCAGGUACAAGCAUGCAAUUGAAGAUAUGCAAAGAAAUCAUACAUAGUAUCUAUUGAUGGCAUCAACACGAACAUAAAAUGACGACGGGCUAUACCUUUGUCCCAAUGAAUGAUCCUUGCCAAUUAGAAGGAGACUUGGCUCAACCUUAUCUUGAUAUAGAAGAAUGCAUUUCAGCACUGAUUGAUCUACCUCAAACUGCUUGAGAGACAUUUCCUUGUUGUAUACUCUUAUCAACCUCUUGAUUUUCCAGGCUAACUGUCUCAGUUUCACUAAAUUCAAGCUUCAGGUUAUUUUAGAAUGUGUGACUGUUUACUUGUUUCCUCAAAUGCAUCCUUUCAUCAUUUUCAAAACUGUAUCAUUGCUUCAUGAUUAGACUAACUUUCAAGACCAGGCUGAGAAUUAUGCGUGCAUGUCAUGUCACUAAAGUCAGCAUGAGAAGGACUAUAAAAGGAAAAGUGACCUAAACAUAAAUUGACUAGAACUAACAGAAAACAGGAGGUUGCAUUAAACAGAUGGUGAAAAGGAUUCGAACAAAACAAGCAUAAUAAACAUGGGUUACAACCCUAGAACAAUCCUAAAUAACACUAGAUGAGUUACUACAACUAAACGAACUAGACAAAAUAAGAAGAAGAAAGGUUUGAGCCACAAGGCAAUGUCCAUAUUACAACCUCGAAGUAAUCCGGACAAGAGAAAUGACAAUAAAAUAAACCACUGAAACUCCUACCUGGCUAGCCAAGAAGGGAGUGUCUUUCCAAUUACCAAGCUCGACAUUUUAGCCACUGGGUUGCACAUCAAAAUUUCUGGGACCUUCACCAAUUUCAAUAUCAUUAAGUUCAGUCAGCAAGUUCCCUAGUGGAUUCUCAUACUCCCUGUCACCACGCAUCCUCCCCAUAAAGUGUGCAUCAUCAUGUGCAGGUAAAGGAUUCUGCGCGAUGUUCUGGGUGUCACUGUCCUAGACCACAAUUAUCCCUUCUUGAAUCGUUCUUUCUGUCUCCCUUUUAAAGUACAACAAUCUUCAAUGCUAUGCCUUUGGACAUUAGAUUGGUACAUGCACCAUACAGUAGGAUCAAAACCUUUUGCAUAUAGGUCCGGAGUAUAGCCAAGGAGCGACUCAAUUAGGACAGACUAUUUUAACUUUUCAAACAAGCUUGUGUAGGAUUCUCCGAUUGGCAUGAAACUAUUUAUUUUACUUUGUUCCUCUCUAUGCCCCUGUUUCCUAGGGUUGUUGGGUACUCGAAAAUGUUGUGAAGGCGAAAGAGUAUUAUGCGGUGCUGGUGCUCGCCAUAAGGAGUGACCCAGUGGUUGGACAGAGUACCGGACAUUGUUAGGAGGAUAGUACUGAGAUAGAUUAUGUGGAGCUCGGGGAUAGGUUUGGGGUUGGGGUCGAGACUGAGUAUAUUGGUGAGACAGACCCGUUGGGCCAUAUCGCGAUCCUGAGAUAGCCAUGGCAAUAUCAUCAUGUUUAUUCUGACCCGGCAGGCUUCCUGUGUCAUUCUGAAUAACUUGUGUUGUGGCUUUUAAGGCAGAAUAGCUCAUGAUCUUUCUUGACUUUAGUCCUUCUUCCACCAUUUCUCCCAUCUUUACCACAUCAUUGAAAGGCUUACCAAUGGCUGAGAUCAAAUGGCCGAAGUAAGUAGGCUCUAGGGCUUGAAGAAAGUAUUCAACCAUCUCAUCUUCUUCCAUCGGAGGAUUGACCCGUGCAGCUUGCUCUCUCCAUCGAAACCCAUAUUGUCUAAAACUUUCACUGGGCUUGUUUUCUACCUUGGUCAUAGAUAGGCUAUUUGGGACAAUGUCUAUGUUGUACUGAAAGUGCCGGGCGAAGGCCUGAGCCAUAUCGUCCCAUGUGUACCACCUUCUGGCGUCCUGGCGGGUGUACCAUUCUAGAGCUGCCCCACUCAGACUCUGGCUGAAGUACGCCAUCAAUAGUUCGUCUUUUCCCCGGGCGCCUCUCAUUUUACUGCAAUAACCUCUUAGAUGAGCUACAGGAUCUCCAUGUUCGUCAUACAAGUCAAACUUGGGCAUCUUGAACCCGGCAGACAGUUGAACAUCAGGGAACAAACACAAAUCUUUAUAAGCCACACUCACCUGGCUUCCUAACCCUUGCAUAUUUCUCAAUGAUUGCUCCAAACUCUUUACCUUCCUUAAUAUCUCCUCUUGCUCCACGUUCUUUGGUGGUUUCUCAGUUUCAACAUGAGUCUCAAAGUGGGGAGUGUAAGAGUAAGGAUCUGGGACAUUGAAGGUGGGUUCAGGGGCAUAGUAUUGGGUAUCUGGAGCUGGAGAUGCGGUUGUUUUGGCUGGUGGAGCAUGGAAAGUUUGGGAGGAAGUGCCAGGGUAAUUGUGGUAAGGGGUAAAGCCCGGUGCAUGUUGAGGAGAAAGGUCAACGGUAAUGGGAACCUGGGCUUGCGAUAGCGGUGGGAUAGUUGUAAAGUUUUCAGUGUAGUUAGUGGGGAAUGAAGGUGGAGGAUGCCCUCUGAUCCAAGACUAAUACAUUUCUGUCAUCUGAUGUUUCAACCUUUGGACCUCCUCUUUCAAUUUAGACUCCGACUCCACAAACUCCCUCGACGGGUCAACAACUCUUGUGUCCAAGUCUUUGCUAGCGAUGUCUACCUUACUUUUUGACCUUGUAUUGUACAGAUGACUCGCCAAAGUGCCACAAACUAACCACCCCCUGUUAUGAUAACAAUGAAAGUAAGGGGAGCAAAACAAAGCCAACAUGUUAGCGUUAGAGCAUUUAUUAGAUAGAAAUAUCACAUUGUGUGCAAUGCCCCUAGCAAUAAUUAAUGGUUCUAUAAUGGCUUCGAGAGUACAAAGGUCAUAUGGCAUCAUCCCCAUUUCCUUCUUCAUUUUCCUUUCUAACACCGCUUGGCUUUUCAUUUCUUUCCCCCUCUUUUCUGUCUGAUUAUCAUUGUUUUCUUUUCUCUCAUCUCCCACGUCCCACAACUUCAUUCUCUUAUUUUUUUUCUUCUUUUUUUUGUUUUUUUAAUGGUGGUUCGAUCGAACCCUAUGUAGGUUGCCUACGUAUCAUGUCCUUCGUGAACCAGAUCAAGUGUAGUUCUGAAAAGGUAAUGGACAAAAUAAACUAAUAAAAAAAUCUUUUUGGGAUUUUUCAUUUAACUUUUUUGGUUUUGCAAAUAAAAAAUGGGAAGUAAUAUAACAAAAGACUUGUUAUUAUUGUACAAAACUAGAAAGUAAAAAGACAACAUGAAUGAUAGACUCAAAACAUAAAAGUAUCUAUAAGCACCUCCUAAAUGCAGUGGUCCUGGGGUAUUUAUCAUGCUCGAGCUCUGGUACACUGAUCCAUACCUGAAUGAGAAAAAUAAGAUCAAAAAGAGUUAGCGACUCAAGACAUUAUGCGACGCCACAAUACCUCCUAUGGGACACAUGCAAGACGCGAUUGAGCUAUUUGUGAAAAUUAAUUUAUGUGGCAAGAGUGGCUAGAAGUGUAAACUCAACAAGAUUGACCUCAAAGAUAUAGAAAUACCUCACUAAAGCUUAUAUGGAUUCAACUCCCAAUAAUCAGGGCCCAAAAAAAUACUUUGCAGAAAUGAUCAUUUUGCAAAAAUGGCCGAUGUGGCCAAACGUGGCUAGAAAUGCAAAUUCAACAGGAUGGACUAUAAAGUAAUAUGACACCUAGUUGUGGACUCAGGGCUCUAAGACAUGGGAUAACAAACCACUUUGCGAAAAUAUCCCUACUAUGCAAAAACGACCGAUGUGCCCAAAUGUGGCUAGACAUGCAAGAUUUGGCUAAGACCCCGCGAAGCCAAGAAUCUAAGACUUACUAGGAAGAUCGGACCCUAUGUGAGUUUCCUAUGUAUCCCACCCUGAAAGACGAGAAUCAGGUAUGCGUAGUUCGGGAAGAUUGGACAUGAGAAGCUUUUUAAAAAAAUGCAACUAAUUUGGAAAAACUGUAUUUUUUGUCUUUUAGAAAAAUGAUGGAAAAUGUAAAAUCUUUUUGGAUUUUCUUUUUUUUUUUGGAAAAUGAUCGGAAAGUGCAAAAUCAUUUUGGAUUUUUCAUUUUUUUGGUCUUUUCUUGAAAAGGUUGUUGAAGGAAAAACAUAACUGGGCCCUACUUGCUUCAUUUUUAUACUUCACCCUCUUUUCUUUUUCAUUUACCCUCAAACCGUCAUUGGUCCGCCAAAUAACCUUUUUACCCUUAAAGAAUGCAGCAUGUAAUACGCAAGGAUGAUUAAAUGUCUUUUCAGGCCAUGGGCCCAUUUUGACAUAAUUUGGAUAGGCCUCCUACAACGGAACACGGUGCCUGGGACCGAUUCCUGCUAGGUCUAAAUGACAUGAUGAAAAUAAGAAUGACCUAAAGGCUGACCUAAGCUUGAGGCUCACUAGACAAGGAAAUUCGGAGCGACAUGUGGUCGAUGGCGGCUGCUCUAGCUGUCUGCCCACUCCACACUCCCACACCCCCCUAAAGACACGGGUGACUCACAAAAAGGCCGUGUACGCUCAAAUGUACUCCGAAAGACUUGUUGCAGAAAGAAGACCCGAGGUUAUACAAAUGAUGACAGUUAUAAAGCAAUAAACACAUAAAAAGAAAACUGUAAACAAAUAAGCAACUAGAAAAUAAUAAAACGACAUAAACAGAAUAAAAAUCAAAUAAAGCAAACAAAAUACAUAAAAACCUCAAUCGAAUAUCCUAAAAAGCCAACAAGAUCAAGUACUAGCUCGAACCUGCAAGUCCCCAGCAGAGUCGCCAAAGUUGUCACACCCUUUUUUUACACCUCACUUAACCCUCUUUAAAUCAAUAUAAAAAAGAUUUGUAAAGCUCGAAAGGGUUUUAAAUUAAAAGUGACAAAAUUGUGUUCAAAAGGAAAUAACUCAGAGUCGUCACCUGACAUUAGUUUCGGUGUGUCAGACCACCGUUUUUAGAAAUGAUUUUUUCCUUUUAAAACACUUUGGACUCAAAAACUAAGUCAGCCCCAAAGAUUCGGGUAAGGGUGUUCAUUUGACUCGGGGAGAAGGUGUAAGGCACUUCCCAAGUCCCGUUAAAGUCACGGUUGCGUACUCAAUCUAGUUGGUUUUUAGAAUAUUUGAUUUAAGGUAAAAACACACAAAAGAAUACAAACACAAAAAGGUUCGAGGUUGUCCCUGCCUAGAUAAAACAAAAAUAAGAUAAGAAUAAAAUAAAAUACUACACUACGCUUCCUUCACAAACUCGUCACGACUUCCAGAAUAUUUAGAAAGUACUUUGGGGCAUUCCCCGGAUACUAUAAUCAACUAAAAGGAUAACCUCUCACCUCGACAAAACAAAAAUAUAAACGCCCUAAAGAUUUGCCUACCCGAAUGUUGUCAGCCUAAACAUGCUCCUAGCGGACAAUGCAAUUAAAUAGACUAACGAAAGAAAACUAAAUAAAGUAAAAGAAAAUUCUAAAUCAUGCUUAUUUACUUAUCAAUUAAUUUUACUUGUCCAACCACGCCCAAUCCUAAAGCAUGUGAAAAAAUUCAUUACUAAUGGACUUGUCCUUUCCCACUCCCAUGACCCGGCAGUCAAACAAGUUAACACCAAUGAGGCAAGUAAACAUUCAAACAUUAAAAGCAUUUAGAAACUAGAACAAAUAGGAAAUGCAACCAAGUAAAAGAUAGGUGGAUCUGAAAUGCGAUGAAGGCCCCUCACUAUCUCCCAAACCCGUUGAAGAUUCCUAAGAGCUAAGUUCUCCAAUACAUCAGAAACAUUUCACUUAAAUAAUAAAUGUUCAUGCCUUAAUAUCAAAGACUACAGUCAAACAAGCGAAAUGGAAUGAACUAAGAAGUAUACUUCAGAAGAAGGCUAUUCUUUGUUAAGCAUGGCAAUUUCGAAAUGAUGUGCACAUAACAAACUAUCACAAAAGACUGUUAGAUCUAUUUCCAUGGGUAGUUUAAAUUUUCAAUUUCACUUAAGCUCAACUCAAAGAUUGAUGUCUAUAACUUAACAAAAGAAAGAUUCAAAACGAGUUAUGAAUAACUUGAUCAAAUUGAGCAUGCCUCAAAGAAUCUGCGGCUGACCCUUCAUUUUAGACUUAUCUUACAGAUGCUAUACCUACCAAGAAACUGUUAAACAUAACUGAAAACUUCGGCGCAGUCUGCUAACUAGACUGGUACUUAACAAGAAGUGGAAGCAACUUUAAAAUAACAGCCCAGGAUUUUAAACCAAACAGACAUGACCUAUCAUAGAUAGAAAGCAUCGAAAGAUAUUUUCCCUAACUCAUUUCAUGCUUAAACCUCAUCAAAUUUCGCGAAAGAACAAGAAACUCGUAAAAAGCUGCAAGAAUUAUUAUUUUUUGCUCUCCAAGCUAUAGCACUGAUCAAUUAACUUUCUAAGAACCUAAGUGCAAACCAGCAUAUAUGUUCAAAUGGAGCCCAGCAGAUAUUAACAAAACCAAAGCAUCAAAUUAACAUGAACAUAGACAGACUAUAAUCAGUCCAGAAGCUAUGCCUCAAGCACCUUGACUCAUAUUAGUUAUUCACGCUUGAACCCAAAGAAAGCAGUAGAAUGUCUAAUACUUCAAAGAAUCAACAUCUUAAAAUCCUUCCUUGCCUAAUAGUUAUGAGACUAGUUGAGACUUCAAACACACACGCCAAAACCAAACAAAAGGAUUCAGUAAGAUUUUACAAUAAAACUGUGUGGCAGGUUCGUAGCUUUAUUAAUCAAUUAUAAGGUCGCACAAUUGCAAUCGUUUAAAUAUAAUGAAGCAGAGUGAUACUCGAAGAAUGCAUAGAAACCUAAAUGCGACCUCAAGAAUCUCGAAUUGAAUCAGUUAGAUUAGUUCCUUGUAAAGCAAACUCGCACACAUUCUCCAAACUAAAACCCCAGCUCUCAUCGUGCAUCAGAUCUACCAAAUGAAAUAAAAGAGAGAGUAAAGAGAUUAACCUGAACACACCAAGAUUUUCAAAUAAUGUUGGAGGUGGAUACAAGUCGAAGGAAACUCGAGAACAAGCUUGAAAGAAAGAAAAUGGCUACAGGAGUCUGAGCUUCGGCAAGAGAGGCAACCAGAAAUGGACCUCAGUUAGCAAGCAAACAACAAUUCCAACAACCUCAACUCAAAUCCACUUACUAACUUAAAUCGGAAGAUGUAACUGAAAUUCGACUCUUCACUCACUAGAAAACAGAAAUGUUUUUUUUAAAAAAAUCUUUUAAAACGACCUAAAAUCUAAAAUGAAAUUCGAAGAUUUGAAGAAGCUCAAUAUUUGUUCGCUUUUUUCUUCUGGAAAUUAUAGAGCAAAGAAGAGAAACCCAGAAGAAGAACUCACAAACCAUAAUUUUCCUCUCCAAUUUUUCCGAAAAUUCCUUCAAAAUUCUGUUCGAAAAUCCUCUCCAAAUUUCUCUCUUUUAUAGUUCGAAAAUCGAACAAAUGGAAUGUCUAGAUUGAUAGUGAUUCAAUCUACGACCUCCAUUUAUUCGAUUCCAAUUUAGAGAGCAAGAAAAUGCGGUAAUAAUGAUGAGAUUCAUUAGGAUUUUGCUACGUGGAAGAUGGAAUUAAAGGAAGGGGGACCAUAGGGGACCAGGUGCACGCGAGCGGAGUGAACUCGCCUGAGUUUGGGCGAGUUUGGGGUGGAUUUGAGUCGGUAGACGUGUGGGAAAGAGAGGGUGACGACUGGAGCUUAGAGAAUUAGGUUUAGGGUUAGACUAGAGGAUGUUGGGAUUGUAUUUGGUGUAGGGAAAUAAUGUGGGCCGUUAGAUGAGAAGAGAUGGACGGUUGGGAUUAACAGGGGUGUUGGGGCGGGUUAAAAGGGGAAAGGAAUGGGCUGCCCCAAUUUUGGGCUCAAGCUUGGCCGAAAUUGGGCCUAUAAUUUGGGGCUUUAACCCUUUAAAUCCACCAAUUAAGAAAACUUAAACUUUUUUUAAAUAAUUUAAUUAAUUAUAAUUGAUUAAAGUAAACUAUACAUACUAUGAAACUAUAUGUAUUUGAUAUGUAUUAUUUAUUUAUAUAAAUUAUUAUAUUCAAAAUAUAAGUAAAAAUCAUAGUAAGAAUAUAUUUCCAUAAAAUACUAAUGGUCUUAAGUAAAAAUAAGAAAAUAUUUAAGGAAACUAUUUUUUUGUGUUUUUCAUUUUAUGUUUUAAAAUAAAAGUAAAAGUGAAAAAUAGGUUAAAUACUUUUAAAAUAACUCAAAUAAAUAUUUUAAAAUGCUAAAAGUACUAAUGUAGCUUGAUGAUGUGGUGGGUCAAAAAUUACGUGUCUACAGUAGGCUUUUGGACAAGGAUAGAAAGAAGGGUGGCAUAAAGGCUCAAAAUAAUUUAAGAUGAAAAAGGGUUCAAAAUUACAACUUUUGGAAUCAGAUCUUUUGCAAAACCAAAAUUUCUGCCCCAGUUUCUUUGGGUCUGGGGAAUUUUGGAUUUUUAUUUUAAGGGUACCGAACCGUGUAAGGCUGCCUACGUAUCCUUAAAAGGAAUUAGGUCGAACGUGGUUCAAACAAAAAGUUGGUUUAUUUUGUUGCUUUUCUUUUCCUUUUCUUUCUGGUCUUCUUUUUCUUCUUUUUUUCUUUUCACCUUUUUUUCUUUUCUUUUCUUUUCUUCUUUUUAUCUUUUCUCUUCUUUUUCUUCUUUUUCUCUUUUUCUUUUUCUUUUCUAGUUCCUAACUCUACUUCUGAUUCCAAAAGAGGAGUAUGGAAGAAAACAAAUUAAGGCUCAAAAGGGGUAGUAAAAGAUGAAAGUGUUUGGGUAGCAGAAUAAUAUGCCUUCGUCAUACCAAACUUCAAAAAUGCCAAGUAUAAGCAUGCAAUUAAAGAUAAGCAAAGAAAGCAUACACAAAGUGAAAAUAGCACGGUCUAGCUAGUUUUGGAUUGAUCAUUCAAAAAUAGCCAGCGUUCGCCAAGUCAUUGAAAAAUAGCCACUAUUUUGCUGCAACAGAGACCGUCCAGCAUAAUAUACUGGAGUUCGGUGCACCUGUGUAUGAACUUCCAGCAUAUUAUGCUGGACCGAUAUACUUUGUUGGCUCCAGUAUAAUAUACUGGAGACUGGAGCACUGACACUUACUAGGUACCAUUGUGGUGUACUCAUGCCCUUUCAUGCACAUAUUUUUCGUGUGUAGAUCUAGGUUCGUCGUACCAUCCUCAUCACUAGUUGCAAACGUUGCUGCUCGUUGGAGACUUCAAGGUACAUCUUCCCGUGCUCACAGAUCCUCAGAGUCCCCCUUUAUCCCUUAUGUUUAUUUAUUUUUCUUUCUGUAGAAAAUGAUGUAUAUAACAGUUAAAAAGUCUUAGUAGCCUCUGACUUGCGAGUUUCCGGAUUUUGGGAAAAUGAUUAUUGUAUAUGCCGAGUGGCACCGUUUCUGUUUAUUAACAAUAUCUGUUAGCUGUUAUGUUUGUGUUUUCAUUUCAUUUCUGCAAUAUUAAGCUUACCUAUUCAUAGAAACUAGAUGACGUCACGACAGUUCAUAGAGGGGGAAACUGAUUCGUGACAUAAAGAUUGAGAACACAUGAGUUUUAUACUGGUACAGUACCAGUGUGAUACUUACAUCCAGUUUCCUUGGGUCACAAGGGUUAUCUUAGAUCUUCAACAGUUGGUUACAGUAGUAGUGGUUUUAUGGAUCAUUCACCGCCAACAAUUUUCAGCGAAAAUAUUUUAUAAGCUUGACACAACUCUUGUUUUGCUUCCUAACACUUUCUAUCUUUUGAGACACUAGUAAAUUUAGCAAUACAGUGUUUGUGCUAAGAACUAGGAAGAUAUAGAAACAGUGGUAAGUUGCGUAGUUGAAUUCUUGAGUCUGCCAAUCUUCUUAUAGGAGAGUUUUGAGUAGCCAUUGCUGAUUGACCCUUGAUUGAGGCACACAAAAUUCUAAGAGAUUUGACCCAAGGGGUGCCUCCGAAUCCUGCACAAGAGAUGGACUAGAUUCAUUUACGUCUUUCGUUUUCGUAUCUAUAAUCAAGGGAGUGAUUUGUGGCUUAACUUGGUCGAUCAAUCUUCAGGAUCUCCAGAUUCCAAAUUAGUCCUUGAAGUAGGGCCUGACUUCCUUUAGCGGUCGCACUUGAUCUUUGAUAGUUUAUAUGAAUCUACCAAACUAUAGAGUACCUGGUCCUCUAUGAGACAGUAAGUAAAUGAGACAUGGGAUUUUUAUGUGAAAAAAUCCCAACUCAAGGAGACAAAAACCACGACCUACACUUGUAGGAUUUCAACUUCACUAACUUAUAAAUACACUAUUAAAAGCUACUUUGUAAUGACUCUAUUACAAAGACUUCAACUCAACUAACUUGUGAUACAGUUACCACAAGCCACUUUGCCACUCACUAGUUACAAAGACUUUAACUUAUGACUAACUCUAGUCACAACACAAACUCAGAAUGUUUAUGAUUUGAGUUUCCUAACACAAAGAUUCUAAUAAAGUAAUAUAAGAGUUACAAUGAAGAACAAACAACAAGAUACAACUCAACUACGGACAACAUGGACCCAUUGUGGAACUAAUCCUUAAUGGAGUUAUCUUCUUGUUCUUGACACACUUGUAACUUCAAUGUUGGAUCAGAUCUUUAAUGCUUGAGAGAAUAUCACUAAAUGCUCAACUGAAUAUCUUGUGUCUUACACCAUGUUGUUAUACUACUAAAGACAUCCCAAGGAUGACGUCAAUUCUUGGUCGGUACACGCCUCUUCCCAAUUGGAAGUGACUGUUGCACUGUCGCAUGUACAGUUGCAGGCAGUUACUUUCUGUAGUUGCUUUCCAGCUGUAUAGUUGACUUGUACUUCUAUCAGAGAAUACCAAGGGAUCAGGUCCCUGUCUUGUUCCUCUAUUCUCUUCACUUGCAGCAGUUCACAUUAGUUGGAGUUCAAGCUGGAAUUGUUCAUUUGCAAUGUGUACUAAAUGUGUCAGGUUCCCUAUCUGGUUCUUGCCAGUAAGUUUGUUAGAUCAUCAAAAACAUAAGGCAAAGACAUUGAAAAUCCAUCAAUUUCCACCUUCUUGAUGAUGACAAACUUAGACAUUGAUAACAUAUAUUUAGAGCAGAAAUAACCAGAUAAGGUAACAGGAACUUCACAAGUUCCCCCUGACUUUAUGCUUCCCCCUUAAUCAGAUCCCCUGUUUCAAUUUCAAUUAUACUUCCCACUUUUGGCAUCAUUACAAAUACACAAGCAGACAAACAGCAUAAAGAAGUAUAACAUAGCCAACUAAUGUCACAUAUGUGCACACACCAUGACAGAAAAGAGAAGAAAAAGAAAAACAACAUUGUACAAGCAAAAGGAAGAGUUGUUUCAUUGAUAUGAAAAUGGACUGAGUAAACAGGAGAAGUAACAGUGAAAUCCAGCAUGCCAUCACAAAAAAAACACAGCCAUAAAACAUUAUAACAGAAGACAACUGGUCACGGAGAGGUUUCUAAGGGGCACUAGAAGAGGGAGACUUGGCGAAGGAGGCAGCAAGAGUUUUGAGAACCAGGUCCAUUCGGGCAUUUGUAGACAGCUGCUCUUCAAGCAGUUUUGCACAAAGCUCAUCAUUUUCCUUGGUCAAGCGGGCAACUUCUUUAUGGGAAGAAUUAACAGAACCAGGUGCCCCAACAGUUUGACUAAGCUGAGUUUCCAGUAUGGCAUUCUGAGCCCUCAGCCUCUUGAGCUCUUCAAUAGCAGCAUUUUGAGCAUUGAUCAGCUGAGAAAUGGUCGAGGUGCUUCCACCAACCUUUUCUACACUCACACUCUUCUAGAGUGGAUUUUGAGAAGGUUUGCUUACAGGUGCCCACUUUGGGAUUGGCCAAAGGAGCCUUGUAGAACUGAAACACUCGAGUGAGGAGAAAUCCAUAUGGAAGUCCGUGAUUGCCACCUUUGAAGUUUGCCACCUUUUGCAAGUGUUCUAUCAUGAUUGUUGGUAGAUUGAUCGGAUGGGGAGGUCGACUAGUGUGGAUCGCGGCUGAGGGUGCCGAUAUCCCCGUGGGCUGAACUUUAGCAGAGUUUGAUCAAGGCCAAUGACUCGAGUGAUGAGUCGAUAGAGAAGAUGGUAGAGUUGGAGAAGGCCGUCGAGGACAGGAUGGAAGCUUUGGCAAGGAUGGAGGCAUAGAAAGAGGUCAUUCACGUCCUUAGAUCUGGAUGAGCGAGGAGACUGAAUGUAAAUUCAGACGAGGUCGCCGAAUGUGAAUUCGGGCGAGGUCACCAAAUGUUGAUUCGUGCGAGGUUGCCGAAUGUUGAUUCGGGCGAGGUUGUCGAAUGUGAAUUCGGGCGAGGUUGCCAAAUGUAAAUUCGGGCAAAGUGACCGAAUGUGAAUUCGGGCGAGGUCACCGAAUGUGAAUUCGGGCGAGGUCGUCGAAUGUUGAUUCGGACGAGGUCGCCGAAUGAGAAUUCGGAUGAGGUCGCCGAAUGUUAAUUCAGACGAUGUCGAAGUUUGAUUCGAACGAGGCCGAAGGUUGAUUCGGACAAGCCCGAAGGUUGAUUCGGAUGAGGCCGUAGUUUGAUUCGGACGAGGCCGAAGUUGAUUCAGACGAGGACGAAGUUCAUUCGGACGGAAUUUGAUUCUGACAAGGCCGAAGUUGAUUCAGACGAGGCCGAAGGUUGAUUUAGACGAGGCCGAUGGUUGAUUCGGACGAGGCCGGAGGUUGAUUCGGACGAGGCCGGAGGUUGAUUCGGACGAGGCCGGAGGUUGAUUCGGACGAGGCCGGAGGUUGAUUCGGACAAUGCCGGAGUUUGAUUCGGAGGAGGCCACAGUUUGAUUCGGACGAGGACGAAGUUUGAUUCAGAUGAGGCCGAAGUUUGAUUCAGACAAGGCCGAAGUUGAUUCAAACGAGGCCAAAAUUUGAUUCGAACGAGGCCGAAGUUGAUUCAGACAAGGCCAAAGUUUGAUUUGGAUGAGGCCGAAGUUUGAUUCAGACAAGGCCAAAGUUGAUUCGUACAUGGCCGAAGUUUGAUUCGGACGAGGCCGAAAGUUGAUUCGGAUGAGGCCAAAGUUAUGAGGCCGAAGUUGAUUCGGACGAGGCCGAAGUAGGAUUUGGAUGAGGCUAAAGUUUGAUUCGGACGAGGCCAAAAUUGAUUCGUACGAGGUCGAAAUCUGAUUCAGACGAGGCCGAAGUCUAUUUGGACGAGGCCAAAGUUUGAUUCGAAUGAGGCCAAAGUUAAUUCAAACGAGGUCGAAGGUUGAUUUGGACGAGCCCGAAGUUGAUUCGGAUGAGGCCGAAGUUUGAUUCAUUGUGAUUCGAGCGAGGUUAAAUUCUUCUCUUUGGCAAUGGUCUUUGGCCAUAGGGGUGUUAUUAUAAGUUGACGUCAAAAUGUUAACCCGUUGUAAUUCGAGCGAGGUUAACCUCCUCUCUUUGGCGAUGGCCCUUGGCUGUAGGGGUGUUAUUUCGAGUUGACAUCGAAAUGUUAACCCGUUGUAAUUUGCGCAAGGUCGACCUCCUCUCUUUGGUGAUGGCCCUUGGCCGUAGGGAUGUUAUUUUGAGCUAACGUCGAAAUGUUAACCCGUUGUAAUUCGAGCAAGGUCGACCUCCUCUCUUUGGCAAUAGCCCUUGGACAUAGGGUGUUAUUUCGAGCUGACGUCGAAAUGUUAACCCAUUGUAAUUUGAGCGAGGCCGACCUCCUCUCUAUGGGGAUGGCCCUUGGCCGUAAGGGUGUUAUUUCGAGCUGACAUCGAAAUGUUAACCUAUUGUAAUUUGAGCAAGGUCGACCUCCUCUCUUUGGCGAUGGCCCUUGGCCGUAGGGGUGUUAUUUCGAGGUGAUGUCGAAAUGUUAACCUGUUGUAACUCGAGCGAGGUCCACCUCCUCUCUUUGGCAAUGGACCUUGGCUGUAGGGUGUUAUUUUGAGCUGACAUCGAAAUGUUAACCUGUUGUAAUUUGAGCGAGGUCGACCUCCUCUCUUUGGCGAUGGCCUUUGGUCGUAGGGGUGUUAUUUCGAGCUGACAUCGAAAUGUUAACCCGCUGUAAUUUGAGCGAGGUUGACCUCCUCUCUUUGGUGAUGGCCCUUGGCGUAGGGGUGUAAUUUCGAGCUAACGUCAAAAUGUUAACCCAUUGUAAUUCGAGAGAGGUUGAUGUUUACCAUGAAAAUGGUAACAACAAUUAGAUUUAUAAAUAGGAUUCUAAAAAUACGUGAUCUAUUCCUGAGCUAGUUGUUAAAGCAGUUAAUGCUAAGAACGUGAAGUAUAAUGAUAGCAUGCGAGCUAAGACGAGGCAGUAAUCAAACCAAAGGGGCCUGUUAUCCGAGUGUAGAGAUGGUCGAUGGGACCUCAGGGUCGGCAUUGAUAUCAAGCUCGAACUACCGGGGACAACCGGGGAUGGGAUAACAGUUAAAAGUACAAUUAAAUAGGGCUAUUUUGGUCAAUAUUAAGCUAUAGAAUGAAGAACAAGUUAAUAAGCAAUGAAUACGGGGGCGGCCUCAGGCCAGUACCAAGUGGUAAGGAGAAUGACCGAAGAUAAAUGACUUUGAACCAAGGGGAAUAAGCAAAUCAGAGAAGAGAGAGAGAAGAUAUUAUUGCACUUGAGUAGGAUCAAUGGAGCUCUGCCUUGCAGGGUGUUGGCGACCCCCCUUUAAUAGAAAGGGGAUGCCCAAACUUAGUAAAAAAUACUUAGUAUGACAAAAAAGAAUGAGAUGUGACAGCCCGUUAGUUUUAUGUCGCAUGAGGGCUAGCGUCGAGCCGCUUGAAUAGAUUUAAUCGACCCCGGGUGCAUUCCUCGGCGAAUUCCUGCAUUCAUCGGGGCCUUGGACGAUGUUUAUUCUUGGCAGGGCAUCGACAGAUUUCGAGGGAAGCGAUCGACCCGAUAUCCCGUGCUUCCGGGGUCACUCUCCGAAGCAUUACAUCGGGGGAAAUCAGUUCCCCGGUUUUCACCGCACACAGAUAGUCUCUGCGUUUCUUAGAGGGAAGUGAUAAGAAACAUUAUAGACAUACCACUUCCUGAUCCCUUGUAGAGGUAUUAUGCCAAUAGUGCAGCCCUUCUUUGACAGGUAUCGAGGUAUUUCGCCUUUUCGCUUCUUUGGGAUCAUCCGAAAUGUUACAAACCUUGGAGUCAUAUCAUUGCUAUCGGUUUGGCUUCUAUGAAAGCAUUGAUUGUGCUUACCGUUACGUUUUUCGAGGGCGGUAAUGGCGUCGUUGGUUGCUUUGCCCUCCCUAUAAAUGGGGCUCCUUGUGGCUAGAUUUUCUACUCAGACUUUCUUCGAUACCUAUCUCUCCUUCUUUGAAGUUCCACCAUUUUGCCAUGUUCGAGGCCCCAGGCUUCAAGAUUUUAUGCUAUAUGCGCCUUGACUCCUUUCUUGAUCUCUUUUUUAUUGGACGGAAUUGUGCCGCCAUGAUAUUGUUGUUGUUGUUGUUGUUGUUGCAAUCAUUGUCAGCUCGAGGCGAUGAGGCAGACGGUCGAUUCCUUCCGACCUUGGGGGGUAUUUAUUGGACUAUGCACCGCUGCUCAAGAGGGGGCUCGGAUUAUACACCGCUGCUCACCCUCCUCCCUCGGCUUGGCACGUUACACCCCUUUUGGAUUCCUGGGGGGUGUGGAGGCGGUUUUCGCUGGUUGUUGCCUCCCGGGACGAGGCAACAUCUCAAGAAGUGGCUUGGUGGGUUUAAUACUGGCGGGAUUCAUGACAGCCAGAUUUUUCACCUAGCCACUUCUUGUCUCCUUCCCUCACCUCUCUUCCUUUUAAAGAUGUCAUUCUAAGGAAUCGAGAUGAGGUCCCUAAGGGCCUCAGACUUGGAAGAUAUUGUCUUUGAGGUUAUAUGCCCGAGGGGAUGAUGACAGAGAUACCGCACAAAAAGAAGGCUAGACUCUUAGGCUUUUGUUGUAUGCAUAUCUUUGGAUUUCUUUUUUUGCAUGAUGAUCCUCUCGUGAGCUUUUGUAAUCAUAUGUAAGGACCCCUCGAGGGUGGUUGUUUAUGGAUUUCUUAUGAAUAUGAAUAUACUUUUUCUGACUUCUGCUUUUCUUACUUUGCUUUGUUUCUGUAUGCUCCCAUUCCCUUAGAGGCUCUUUGAAUGCCUUCUUUUAUUUGUUGACUGCCGAUAUCUGACUUGAGUGUGUGCGUUCAUUCUGAUCUCCUGCUAAUCAACAUUGUUCUCCUCCAACCCACCAUUGUACUUCAGACCAACCUUGGAUCGUUCUGAUAGUUUCGGGCUAUCGGGGCCCUCCGAAUUGUUUGGAGAUCAUGCAUCGAAUUCUGGGGCCUUUGGGAACGUCAACCCGGAUGAAGGUCAUCUUCGGGUACCCGGGGGUCCCUAUUGAUCUUGAUGUAGAUAAUCCUUUUAGAAUGUAUCGGAUUGACUGCUACUGAGGAGUUUUCUUGUAUUUGGGUGCUUCCUCGGACCUUCGUAGAGCUUUCUAUUGAUAAAAUGGCUUCGCGUAGGGUUCUUUGUGUCCAGGCCCAAAAUAAGACCAGUAACAUCGAGCAAUCAGAUCCUUAGCGUGAAGGCGUGGGUGGUGUCUUCGGACUUUGUAGUGUCCUUUGAGAGGAGGCUUGAUGGAGGGCCGGCGAGUUUGGGGAUGCCGGUAGCUUCUCGAAUGCAGGCUCCGGGCAGAGAUCUGCCUGCGUUUGGAUCAUCUCGAUCAACAUCCGGGGACUGUUCCGUAUAAGUGUAUGUUAAGAUGCAACUGUAUUUGCUAGCUGGCUUCCUUUGGCGGAGCCCUUUAUGUGUUGAUCUCGUGUUGGCGAAGGCAUUGCUGGCCUUUUAGGGCUUUAUCUUACCAUAAUGAAGGCUUCCAGGGUUGGCUAUCAUACCGGCGCCGGAUACGAUGCUGAUGGCUAGUGCCCUUGGUUGUUUUUAAAUUUGUCGUCAUUUUUCUCACAUGCAAUGUGAGGCUGCUUUCGCAUCCUUGGGGGUCGUUGGAUCCUGCCUUUAAUGGCUUCUUUAUUUAGAGAAGGCAGAGACUGGGCUCGGGCGAAUCGUUCCUCCUAGGUGUUGGUGCCACACCUUCGAAACCCUCGUCAGUUAUUUGAAGGGAUAAAAGGAUGUCCUUCAGGCGUUAUGCCGCACGUUUCGCCGGCUCUAUCUAUGAUGAUGGCGAAUCCAGCAACCAUUUUUUCCUUUCUCUAUUGCGGCAUUGUUGGUGUCGGACGGUCUCUUGGGGGUGCAUAUAUACCCCCACCGGGGGUUCAUAGAUUUACAGGCGGGCAAUGAUGAUAGUGAGAUAUGUGAUGUAACGGAGCCUUUUAUCAAGGCGAGGUCGUUUCACGCCUCUAAGAAUGCAUCGAUUGAGCUGGGUGUUUCCGGAGCCCUUGAUUCCGGGAUGACGGUCCCAAAUUAUGGGAGAUAUUUGAUGGAGCAGGUGGCUUCCUGUAGUACGUGGUCCGCCCCCCUUUGCCCUUAGGGCUAACCCCCUUUCUGUUAUAUUUAGCUGCAGAAAAAAAGUGGAGGUUUCGGAGUAACUUAAGGGCGACGUCAAGCUUUGCCAGAGUGACUCGUGGGGAGCUAAGGGCUCAAGUCCAGGCUCAAGCUUCUGAGGGGACGAAUGUCUUGGCCAAGGUCUCUGCCUUUCGAGGUCCAACUUCUUUUGACUUGUGACAGUGCCAAAGUUCAGCCGGGUAUGAUUGGGAAACUUCGAAUUUGAUCUUCCGAAGUUUUAGAGCCGAGAUAAUUGAUGCUCGAGUCGAAGUAACAUUAAGCCGAACCGAGGCGGGUCGGGAGAUGGCGAUUCGUAUAAAGGGUGCUACUGAUGCCCAAGUCGAGCUGCAGUGAGCCCUCGACCGAGAUAUCGAGGAAUAUGUUCAUUGCAGGUCCCGAGGAGAGGUACUCGAGCAGGUUGGUGUAAGGGGUUCCAUUUUCCCGGAGGAAUUGGUUCGAGAUAGGGGAAUAAUUGUGGCGCUUGGUCACUUCUUGCUGAAGUUGCGGAGGGCGAUUUUUGACAAGUUGGAUCCCUUUUAGCAUGGAGUGUAGAUUUUUUAUUGUCACUUCGUUUCUAAUAUAUGCAGAAUAUGCCUGUAGAUGGAGAGUGCGCCUUUUUUGCGCAUGCAAUAUAUAAGAAGGAAUUUGAAGCUUUGUUUCUUUUUUACCUUUUUCUUUGUUAUUGCUUUCGACUGGGCGGACUGGUUUUGUUGUUCGGUGGGAUCCUCGUAGGUCCGGAACUGAUCGGGUAGAUCGGGGGCUCUUAAGCAUGAUUUUUGAUGUGAGCAGGUGACGGGGCCUCCGUGCUUGGCCUGGCUAUUUAGGCUUGGUCUCCGAGACGGGCUCCGACUCGAGCCUUCUUGUUCUUUAAUUUUUUGUGCCCGUGCGGGUAGGUAGUAUUUGUUUUGAUCUCUUGCACUUGGCCAUUUGUCACUCCAACUGUUUGUUGGGUCCAGUUUUCGAGUCGCAUUAUGACUGGUGUUUCAAUCGACCCUCAAGCUCUCUCUUGCCUCCAUGGGCGAAUGAUGAUGGCUCUUUUUUCUUUGGGUCGAAGUGACCUCACGGGCGCGUGGCCUAGAAAUUUAAUCGACUGACGACGGUAUCUUUCAAGUCGUGCCCUUAGGCACCCUGCAACUCAACUAUUUUGGUUCCAGUCUCCAAGUUGCGAUUCGAGCUGUAAUCGACCCUUAUGUUUCCCUGAUUCCCUUGCCGGCGAUAGUGGCAUUUAUGCCGCGCCCUUAGGCAUAUUGCAGUUUUCGGGUCCAGUCUUCGAGUCGCGUUGCGAUUCGAGCUGUAAUCGACCCUUAAAUUUCCUUGAAUUUCUAGUUGGCAAUAGUGGCACUUACGCCGUUUGGUUAUUGAGACCUUUUAGUAUGUGUCCCGGAGGCUGGCAUAGUUAACUAUUUUGGAUCCGGUCUCCGAAUCGGGUUACAAUUCGAGCUCAUUUUAAUCCUCAAGUUGUCAAGAUUUUUUAGCUGGCGACAAUGGCUCUUACGUUGUUUGGUCGUAGAGACCUUUAAAUAUGAGGCCCGUAAGCUUUCUUAGCUGGCGAUAAUGGCUCUUACGCUGUUUUUGCCCGUGGGCUUUUUGUAGGCUUUGUUUCCGCUCAUUAAGUUCUUUUUAUAGUAUUUUUGUCUGACUCGUCGUCGGUUCUAGAGGAACCUCAAUUUCAAGUCGUUGUCGGUGAUGUUUAGAGAACCUCGUAAGGUUCAUAGCUCAUAAGUUGAGUAGAUCGACGCUCUUGCGAUUUGGGGCCGACAUGAUCAGAGCUCGUUUUUGCCUGUUGAGGGAAGCCUGUUUUAACCGGUUUUUUUCGAAGUAUAGUCGGAGUAGUAGCCUAUGAUUUUUUAGUGAUAGUCGUGCGUCCCCAAGUCGCGUUAUUUCGGCUAUAUCAGCCGUUUUUACCGUAGUCAUAUGCGUUUGGCCAUAGCCAUUUUUGAUCCCUAGUGAUAGUUUAGACGUCUACAUCGAGGAUAUGCCCUUUAGGGAUUCUUACAAAUGCGAUGUAUAGCCUAAACUUCGGGAUUUUCCAUGCUUGUUGAGGUCUUACAGUUUGUCAUGCCUGUUAAGGUCUUACAGUUUGUCAUGCCUAUUGAGGUCUUACAGUUUGUCAUGCAUAUUGAGGUCUUAUAGCUCGUAGAAUAGAUCUGAUUAUGCCGAGUCUGCCCGCUAGGGUCUUAUAGUUUUGGAUUUUCCAGUGCAUGGCGAUUGGCGACAGUUUCUGAGUUAUUGAGUUUGCUUAAGUUUGAAGACUGCUUCUCGUGAACUCGGAGUUGCAUUGUGGGGGCUUUGUAAUCCCGGGGUUCCGACCCUGGGGUCGUGUAGGCGCUGAACCAUUUAAGUCUCCGAGUGUUUCGGGACGUAUUUGGCGGAGAGGUUUUUGUCAAGAGUAUACUGCGACUUUCCUUUUUUGGAGAGUGAGAUGUUGGAAGAUAUUCUCCGAUCCAUUGGCAUAAUACAUGUGUUAUUGUGCUGAGUUGACCUAUUUUUGGUCGAGUGCGGUUGCUUCGGCGAUUUUCAUGUUGCCUUACUCCGAGAAGGAGCCCUUCUCUUUUUUCAUGGGAGAAAAAUGGUAUUUUUUGAUUGCCCGAUAUAAUAAUACAUGCUUCCACUUUGGCGGGAUCUGAUUGCAUCGACCGUUUGGCCCUAUACAUUGUUUUCUCGUAGGAACCUUUGCUUGGCGUUUCUCCACCUCCUUCGAAUUGGGUGGCUUCCAGGGGGAAUGCCCCUCGCCGCUUGAAAGUUGGCCGUAAGGGUAGCUUCGAGCAGUUCUGUGGAGUUUUUUUUUUCUUUGAGCAGCUUCGCAGCCGUUGCCUCGUUAAAACCUUGCCGGUAAAAACCCUUCUUUUUUGGGAUAAAAACUCGGUCAAAGGAAAAGAGUUCAACGGGCAUGCUUUUGGGGGUCUCGAGGCCUCAUGUUAGUGUCCUGGUAUCUUUGGUUGAGUGCCUGCAUGAGGGUUAGUUCUUAAUCUGAAAUGAAACAAAAGGAAUGGAUGUACCUUAAAACGAGAUAACCUGGUGGCACCUUGGGGUUGGCUUAUUAUGACCGCUCGAGGGCAGACACGCGAUGCGGAUUUCUAUUAUGUGUUGUCAAACCCGACCGGGGUUGAGAUCUAAUUCACCCGUUGGCUUUUUCGGAAGCGGAGGUAUGGGCGCUGGUAACACAUCACAAACAUUUCUGUUGUUCCCCAUAGAUGGUUUUGAUUUGGUCCUUUGUCGGGAAUUUUAUCAUCUGGUGGAGUGUGGAUGGUACCACUCUCAUGCAGUGUAUCCACGGUCGCCCAAAAAGGCAUUAUACCUCAUAUCUCCCUCGAUGAUAUGGAAUUUGGUAUCUUGGGUUGUGCCGGCCACGGUAAUCGGAAGGAUGAUUUCUCCUUUCAUUGUUUCGCUUGCCAUGUUGAACCCAUUAAGGACCCAAGUGGCGGGCACGAUCCAUUCAGUUAGUUCGACCUUUUCUACUACCUUUGACCUGAUAAUAUUGGCUGAGCUACCUGGAUCCAUGAGUACACGUUUUAUCUGAAAAUAAUUCACAAGAAAGGAGAUUACCAGGGCGCUAUUGUGGGGUCGAGACAGAGCCUCGGUAUCUUCUUUGCUGAAUGUGAGGGCAUCUUCGGGGAUAUAUCCCCGAGUUUGUUUUUCCCUGGUGAUGGAUAUUUUUGUUUUCCUCAUCAUGGGUUCCUACGGGGCAUCGACGCCCCCCAUGAUCAUGUGAAUGACGUGUUGUGACUCAUUUGCCUCAUUUUUCUUGGUUGCCUCCCUGUCCCGGAACUGAUUUUUGGCCCGAUCGCUAAGGAAUUCCCGAACCCGGGACACUUCUUCUCACAGUUUAUGGCAAUCCUCGGUCCUGUGGUCGUGUGUGUUGUGGAACUCACACACUAAGUUGUAAUUUCUCUGUGAAGGGUUCAACUAUAUUAGUUUGGGUCAUUUGGCAUCCCUGAUUUUGCCGAUAGCGAACACGAUGUCUAAUAUGUCGACGCUAAAGUUGUAUUCUGAUAAGUGGGGCGCGUUCAUUGGCGCCAUGUUUUGAUCAAACCUGGUUCUGUUAACGAGCCCCCGAGGGUCCUGUCCUCGAUCUAUAGAACGAUCGUUGUGGGGUAGGUUGCGCCUCGGGGCAUUCCUUCUGUCUUCAAGGUACAGUUGGUACCUUUCUUUGCUUGGUUUCGUCUCUUUUGGUAGGAGUCUGUUUGGGUAUAUUGAGCCUGAAGUGGCUCCCAGCUGGUCAUCCUCGGCCCUGAUCUUUGACUGGUAUCGGUUGUGAACGAACGACCAGGUCACGGUCGAGUAUUCGAUUAGAUUUUGUUUUAGCUAUUUUAAAGCCAUCGAGCUUCGUUCGUUCAGGCCUUGGGUGAAGGCCUGUACUGCCCGGUCGUUGGAGACUGGUGGCAGCUCCAUCCAUUCCAUCUAGAAGCGGGAUACAAACUCCCGCAACAUCUCGUUCUCUUUUUGCUUGAUUUUGAAAAUGUUGGAUUUCCUCGUUGCCACCUUGAUGGCUCCGGCAUGUGCUUUUACGAAGGAGUCUGCUAGCAUCGCGGAUGAAUCUAUGGAGUUGGGAGCCAAGUUGUGGUACCAUAUCAUGGCUCCCUUUGAAAGCGUUUCUCCGAGUUUUUCAGCAACACAGACUCAAUUUGGUCGUUUUUUAUGUCGUUGCCUUUUACUGCGCAGGUGUAAGCAGUAACUUGUUCGUUAGGGUCGGAGGUACUAUUGUACUUAGGGAGUUCCGGCAUUCUGAACUUUUUCGGGAUGGGCUUCGGGGCCGCUUCCUCGGGGAACGGCCUUUGAAUGAACUUCUUUGAAUCCAAACCUUUGAGGACUGGGGGCGCACCUGGGAUCUGAUCGACCCUAGAGUUGUAGGUCUCGACUUUUUUAUCGUUGGCUGCAAUCAUUUUCUCACCUGAUUCGAUCCUUUUAGUGAGGUCCUCGAGCAUUUUUACAAUGGUGGGAUCAGCCACUGAUCCGUUGUUGCUUGACCUUUCGAGUACUUGCUCGGCAGGAGGAGCCGUCUCUAGUGCCACUGUGCUGGGGGUUCUUGGGUGGCUUUGUAGAUGAGCGAUAGCCAGUUGUGCCUGUAACAUCUCAAAAAUAACAUGAAUACUAACUUGCUAUUCUUCCCAGGCCGGGGUUUUUUGUGCUUCCUGUUGGUCAUUGUGUCGUACGCUCCUAUCCGUAUGAGAAGUUUCGUCGACUUGUUGUGUGUCCUAUGAAUCUGCGUCCGCUAGGAUCGGUCCGAGAGCGAUAUCAGGAUUCCGCAGAGGAGCUCCAACGGCUGGGAUAGCCACGCCAUUUUCCUUGUGAUUUUCGAGGUUGUCGUUCUCAACUCUGUUUAACGAGCCGGACAUUUUGGCCUGAAAUCAAAGGAUCUUGGACAAGAAAAAGUGUGAAAGAUAAUGUGUGUUUGUGUGACGAAACCAGCAAGAAAAUCAUCACUGUUACUUUUAGCCCGACAGUGGGCGCCAAACUAUUUACCGUGAAAAUGGUAACAACAAUUAGAUUUGUAAAUGGGAUUCUAAAAAUACGUGAUCUAUUCCCGAGCUAGUUGUUAAAGCAGUUAAUGCUAAGAACGUGAAGUAUAAUGAUAAAAUACGAGCUAAGACGAGGCAGUAAUCAAACCAAAGGGGCCUGUUAUCCGAGUGUAGAGAUGGUCGAUGGGACCUCGGGGUCGGCGUUGAUAUCGAUCUCGAACUACCAGGGAUAAUCGGGGAUGGGAUAACAGUUAAAGGUAUAAUUAAAAAGGUCUCUUUUUCGGCUAGUAUUAAGCUAUAUAAUGAAGAACAAGUUAAGAUGCAAUGAAUACGGGGUGGCCUCGGGUCAGUACCAAGUGGUAAGGAGAAUGACCGAAGAUAAAUGACUUUGAACCAAGGGGAAUAAGCAAAUCAGAGAAGAGAGAGAAGAUAUUUUGCACUUGAGUAGGAUCAAUGGAGCUCUGCCUUGCAAGAUGUUGGCGACCCCCCUUUUAUAGAAAGGGGAUACCCAAACUUAGUACAAAAUACUUAGUAUGACAAAAAAGAAUGAGAUGUGAUAGCCCGUUAGUUUUACAUCGCAUGAGGGCUGGCAUCGAGCCGCUUGAAUAGAUUUGAUUGACCUCGAGCGCAUUCCUCGGGGAAUUCCUACGUUAGUUGGGGCCUUGGUUGAUGUUUAUUCUUGGCAGGGCAUCGACAGGUUUCGAGGGAGACGAUCGACCCAAGAUCUCGUGCUUCCGGGGUCACUCUCCGAAGCAUUACGUUGGGGGAAAUCGGUUCUCCGAUUUUCACUGCACACAGUUGACCUCCUCUCUUUGACGAUGGCCCUUAGCCGUAGGGGUGUUAUUUCGAGUUGACGUUGAAAAGUUAACCCAUUGUAAUUCGAGCGAGGUCGAACUCUUCUCUUUGGUGAAUCAUAGGCUACCAUACUAUUUGUAAAAAUCGGAACGGAUCCUGGCGUACUCGAUUUUGUUUCUUUUUUUUUUGGAGAGUUUCGGGUGUCCUCUGGGGGAGUCCUAGUUUUGCUCAGCCUCUGCAUUUCUUGGGUGAGUCCCAGUUCUCUUAAUUCCUGCUUCUAUUCCCCUUAGAGAAAUAGUCAGUUAAAAUAAAACGAAAGCGUUCGUUACCUCGAUUUGAUCGAUCGACGUGAGGAGAGGAGCGACCACACCCUAAAGAGGAAUAUAUGCAGAAAACACCCUAAAUCUUAGAGGGAGAAAGCAAGCCCUCAUCAAGUACAAUCCCGACAUUCAUCUUCACAAGGACGUCUGAAUAUACAAACUUUCCGGCACCAUCGUCUUCGCCAAUUUCCUCGCCGGGAACGUAGAGGCUCAAUUUAAUAGAUAAUAACAAGAAAGCUUUGGUCCUUCGCUUUUGAUUUACCUUGAUGCUUCUUCCCUCAGAAAAUAGUACAUGGAAGUCAUAAGCUAACAUCCAAGCAAGAUAGGCAGCAAGUGAAUACAUUCUUAAAAGCUAGCAAUCAAGGAUCUGGCACUUUGGGGUUCUUUCUAUUCUGUAAAGAUAGUAUGCUGCCGCUAAUUUUUGGUUGUGAGUUAUUACUUUGUACAUAUUACCAAAGCACUGAGGUAGUUGAGUGUCUUUUUCAUUUCAAUUCCUGCUUUCCCAUCUUACUAGCUAUACCAAAAAAGUAAAAGAUGUCAUUUCAUCACCAUUUUCUUUAAUUCUUUUUCUUUUCCUAAUUAGCAAAUUGUUUUCCUUUUUUUGUAGGUAAUCAUAGAGUUCAACCAAAAGUAAAGAUGGUAGCAGUCAGUAAAUUCAUUUUACCUUCCCAAAAUAACAUUUAUGUCAAUAAAUAUAUGUAUUGGUGAGGUGAUAAUAGAAAUGAAGCAAAUCGGUGAGGUGAUUAUUCGAUUUGAAUGGUAUUGAUGAGAUAUUUAUUAAGGAAAGUGGAACUAGAAUCGAAUUUAGGUCUAGAGGAAAUUAAAAUUUUAACUAGAAAAUCCCCGCAGACGGAGCCAAAUUGUUUGACCAAAAAAAGUAUGAGACUUUUUUGUUAAUCUAAUUAAAGAAGAGGAUGGAGGGUAAAUCCUAGUUAAGGAUAAUUUAUUUUAGAUCCGAGAUGAAUAAUAUGAAUAGAAAAAUAUAGUUGAGUAUAAAUAUUGGCAGUGAUUAUGCUAGAUUUAAUAGUAUAAAGAGAGAUGCAUUAAAUAACAUUAAAUAGCAAUAAAAUGUAAAUAAAGGAAAAGAUUCACCCAAUCUUGA